GACGAACGCUGGCGGCGUGCUUAACACAUGCAAGUCGAACGACGUGGCGAACGGGUGAGUAAUACGUGGGUAACCUGCCCUCCUUUUUGGGAUAAGCCUUGGAAACGGGGUCUAAUACCGAAUAAAGGGGGAUGGGCUCGCGGCCUAUCAGCUUGUUGGUGGGGUGAUGGCCUCCCAGGGCGGUGACGGGUAGCCGGCCUGGGAGGGUGACCGGCCACAUGGGGACAGAGAUACGGCCCAGACACCUACGGGGGGCAGCAGUGGGGGAUAUUGCACAAUGGGCGAAAGCCUGAUGCAGCGACGCCGCGGUAAUAC
rnacentral:rRNA from 1 species